AGAGCGAACGCUGGCGGCAGGCCUAACACAUGCAAGUCGAGCGCCCGUAGCAAUACGGGAGCGGCAGACGGGAUAGUAACACGUGGGGACGCGCCCUUCGGUUCGGAAUAACUCAGGGAAACUUGAGCUAAUACCGGAUACGCCCUUACGGGGAAAGAUUUAUUGCCGAAGGAACGGCCCGCGUCCGAUUAGCUAGUUGGUGAGGUAAUGGCUCACCAAGGCGACGAUCGGUAGCUGGU
rnacentral:rRNA from 1 species